UUAUUCACCCUUGUCUUUUGCGUACUUCUUGUUUCCUUGGUGGGUUCGCCCACCACUAGGACAAACAUAAACCUUUUGUAAUUGCAAUCAGCGUCAGUAACAAAUUAAUAAUUACAACUUUCAACAACGGAUCUCUUGGUUCUGGCAUCGAUGAAGAACGCAGCGAAAUGCGAUAAGUAGUGUGAAUUGCAGAAUUCAGUGAAUCAUCGAAUCUUUGAACGCACAUUGCGCCCUUUGGUAUUCCAAAGGGCAUGCCUGUUCGAGCGUCAUUUGUACCCUCAAGCUUUGCUUGGUGUUGGGCGUCUUGUCUCUAGCUUUGCUGGAGACUCGCCUUAAAGUAAUUGGCAGCCGGCCUACUGGUUUCGGAGCGCAGCACAAGUCGCACUCUCUAUCAGCAAAGGUCUAGCAUCCAUUAAGCCUUUUUUUCAACUUUUGACCUCGGAUCAGGUAGGGAUACCCGCUGAACUUAAGCAUAUCAAUA
rnacentral:rRNA from 1 species